rnacentral:rRNA from 1 species
UACGUAGGUGGCGAGCGUUAUCCGGAUUUAUUGGGUUUAAAGGGUGCGUAGGCGGGUAUUUAAGUCGGUGGUGAAAGGUAGCAGCUCAACUGUUUUACAUGCUGCCGAUACUGAAUAUCUUGAGUUAUGAGAAGGCAGAUAGAAUUUCUGGUGUAGCGGUGAAAUGCUUAGAUACCAGAAGGAAUACCGAUUGCGAAGGCAGUCUGCUGCACAUACACUGACGCUGAGGCACGAAAGUAUGGGGAUCAAACAGG